UUAGCAAUUCUAGAAAUUCUAAAUUUAGAACAUUUCAUGGGUAAAACUCACCUCUUGCUGCUUUGGAGCUCUUGUUCACACAUUGUCAUUCAUCUGCCAAGUGGAUAAAUGCACAGAUGAGUUUUUGCUUUUCCCAGGUGCAGUUACUGUGAGUUGCACCCACAUUCCAUUAUGGUAAAAUACAUGUUUUCAUAACAGAAGAGUGGUUGGUAUAUUUUAUCCCCUAUGAUCCUCAGGUAAACAUACCCAAAACCUGUUAGAUGGAACGUUAUGUGGGGAAAAAUCAUGGUUUGACACUAGCACACUGCAUACACCUUGCCGUUCAUCGUACCAAAUCUGCUUCAUGAGAGGCACAAGUCCAUGGCUGUUUGAUAUCUUUGCUCAAAACAGGAACUCCAAACAUCUUUCCUUAUUAAGGGAAGAAAUAUUAAUGAUUAACAUUGGGAAUAAAAAUGCCAACUGAAGAAAAGUUUGUGAAUACAGGGGUUUUUUUGCUGAAGAUACUGACAAAGUUGGGAUUAUUUUAUUGGUAAAAUGUGAUAUACAUCUUUUUGGUCUUAGCUCGAACAAAUUCCUUUGAGAAGCCUUUGAUAAUCCCUCAGACUACACUGGGCUUCUCUUGUUCAUGAUCAGAAGGUGCUGUAGUUCUUCUUUGUACCACUGUCAAUGAUAUAAUUAAAUAAUCUUUAUUUUUCCUGGUUUCUUUCCUCACUAAACUACCUGCCCUGUAAGGACAGGGCUACUGCCUAUAUUAUGCAGCACUAUGUUCCCAAUGCUUAGUGCAGAGAAAGGUACACGGGGGUACUUGGAAGUUACUUACUAAAUAGAGGAGUUAUUCAGUAUAAGAUACAGAACUGCCCUGGAAGACCUGAGGUUUUAUUCCUGACAGGAAACAACUUUACAACAUUGUUGACAUUUACAUAACAUUCUGUUCUCCAAGUACUCUAUUUCUCUACCCUCCAUUAAAAAUAUGAUUUUAAAUUAAUGUUAUGUAUGCUAUACAUAUAAAGAUUAUAUCAUACCCACACAAUGCAACUUUACACUUGAUUUAGAUUUCCUCACUUUUUACCUAAUUCCAUUUUCUCUUCCAGGAUCCCAUCCAGGAUGCUACAUUACAUCUUGUCAUACCUUCUUGAGUUCCUCUCGACUGUGAAGUAACAAACUUGAAUUGUUUUUGAGGUCUUUAACAUUUUUGAGGAGUGCAGUAAAGUAUAUUAUAGAAGCCUCUCUACUAGAUUUGUUUGAUAUUUUCCAGACUGAUUAGAUUGGAGUGAUGGGAAAGAUCAUGACAUUUGAAGAAUCCAUGCUUUCAACAUGCUCUCACUGUUGAUAGUGACAAUCACCUGAAUGGGGUGAUGUUUCAGGAUUCUCCCCUAUUAAGCUACCUUUUUUGUACUCUCUGUAAGGAAGACACUGUGCAACUUCCACUACAAUAAACUUAUUUUUUAAAAUAGAACUUACCUACCUACCUACUUACCUGCCUCCACUGGAACCAUUUGACAGAUGCCUCAACCUUCAGUCAACAGCUAUGGUUCAUCUCUUUACAGGCUGAAUAUCACCAGGCAAAGGAAACACAGAUAGAAAAGUAUCCAAGCUGACUAGGAAAAUAAAGAAUGCUACUGCCUGCAGUUUUCCCUUUUCUGCUGAAAAUUCAAAAUAAGGCUCACAUCAUUACAUUUCUUCUGACAAGAUUUUGACCCUAACACUCUGAUGAAAGUCUUCAAGCCCAGCUCCACCACUUUCUAUCUUUUGUUCUUAUCAAAUCCUUCACAUAAGACUCAGUUUCCCCAUAUACAAAUGAGGUUAGUGAGUGUCUGCCCCAUGGGGUUGUUGACAUGAUCAUGGGGACACUGCAUAUGAAAUCUCUUACACUGGAUAAAUAAGUAACCAUCCAAUAGUAUAUGUUAAUAUUAAACAGAUGUCUUAUUCCUGCCUACAAAUCAUUUUACCCUGUGGUUCUCCACUCAGUGUGGAUGACAUACAGUCCUUCAUGCAGUGGCUUAGCUUGUAGAAGUCACCAAGGCAGUAAGAACAGGGACACUAGAAAAAGAACCAAGGACUUGAGGAAAUGAAAAUUAAGAGCACUUAAAUAAGCUCAAAAAAUGUGUUAACAGCAGAAUAGAUUCUGAAGAAGAAAGACAGGUAAGUGUAGAAGAGACUUAAAGUACUGAAAACAUUGCACAGUCAGAUAAAGAAGGAAAAUACAGAAGAGAGGUUAACUGAGAUAAGGGAAGAAUGAUUAAGACCAAAUAUAUCUCUAAUAAGAACAUCAAAGGAAAAGCAUGCAAGAAUGGAGAAAGUCAAAGGGAGAAGGUAUAAUUCCUUAAAAUUGUGCAAAAGUGAUGAAAGCCAUGAGUUGUCAGAUUCAGAAAAUGCAGUAAGUCCCUAGAGAUAAUACUUUAUGUCAAUAAUUAGACAUAUUACAUGAAAUUGCCAAACACCAAAAAUAAAUGUUAAAAGCAUUCAGAGAACAGCUAUAAGCUAUAAAUGAAAGACAGAUUAACAUCAGACUUGUCAAACACACCAACAGAAGUCAAAAGACAAUGGAAUAACUUCAAAAUUCUGAAAGUGUCAAUCUGUAUUUCAAUUUCCAGUAAGUUAAAAAUUUGAAAAUUGGGCCAGGGAUUUAGCUCAGUGGUGCUGCUGCCUGCCUUGAAAGUGCAAGGUCCCGAGUUUGAUCCCUGGUACGAAAAAAUAAUUUUUUUUGAUGAGGGCAAAUGAUAACACCUUAGGCAAAGACCAAAAGAAUUUUCCACCUAUCAGAGAAUCUUACUAUUUAAAGUAGUACUUUAAGAAGGAGGAAAUUAAAUCCAGAAAGAAGGAAUAAGGGUGGUGAGCAAAGAAAUUGGUCUAUAUGUGGAUAAAUCUAAAUGAGCAUCAGCAAAACCUGUGUGGAAGUAAUAAAAAUUAAAUGGAGCUCAAAUUGUCAACAGGAUUUAUUGUAGUAGAAAUAUUCUACAGUACUUCUGUUGACUUAGAGGGCAAUACAGAUACAGAUCAAUUUUAGAUAAUUCAUGUUAAAAUUUAAAGUAAUCACUGAAAAAAAGAAAAUAUAGUUUCCAGGCCAGGUGUAGUGAUGCAUGCCCAUAAACCCAGCACUUGGGAGGUUGAGGGAAGGGGGAGCACCACGAGUUUAAGGCCAGCUGGGCUACAUAGUUUGUUUUUUUGCUACCGGGGAUCAAACUUGGGACUUUGCGCUUGCGUGGCAGGCGCUGGAACCACUGAACAAAUCCCCAGCCCUGGCUGGCUACAUAGUGAGUUCAGGACCUAUCUGAAUUACCUAGAGUGUGUCUCUAAAAAAGCAUGGGGGGAGAUAACAGGCGAUGUGUUAACAGGCAAGAAAAAGCAGAUGAAAAGAGGGAAAACAGAAUAAACAAAAUAAAAAGAUUAAAACAAA